rnacentral:misc_RNA from 1 species
CGCUGCUUCAUUUUCCCUAAUCCCUCGCAAGGGAACGCCGCCAGCCGAAAACCAUUACCAAAAGAAAGCUCAUUGAACAAAAGUUUCCCUUUCGCCCUGUUACGCCAUUAUCGCGUUCCGGAUAGAACGUCGGCUGGAACGGAAAGAAGAAAGGAUGAUGUUGCGAAAAAAUUCGCCAGUCGGGCCCGAUUAUUCCCGCGGUGGCGUAGCCGGGGCCAUUUCGGCCGAUUUUUCAGUAGGAUCAUACGUAAACAAAGUUCAUUGAAUAUUUCUGUAGAAGCGCAUACAGAAAAUUUGUAAGAGAAACACAGAAGAAACUAGAAGAAAUCGAACAAGGAAACAGAGAUUCUCGAUGACGAGGAACUGCUGUACGAAACGUCUACAAGAACCGUCUAGACACAAC